rnacentral:misc_RNA from 1 species
GAUGAAGAACGCAGCGAAAUGCGAUAAGUAGUGUGAAUUGCAGAAUUCAGUGAAUCAUCGAGUCUUUGAACGCACAUUGCGCCCCUUGGUAUUCCAUGGGGCAUGCCUGUUCGAGCGUCAUUUGUACCCUCAAGCUUUGCUUGGUGUUGGGUGUUUGUCCCGCGUUGCGCGUGGACUCGCCUUAAAGCGAUUGGCAGCCGGCAUAUUGGCCUUGGAGCGCAGCACAUUUUGCGCUUCUAGUCAUGAAUGUUGGCGUCCAUUAAGCCUAUACAUUUGCUCUUGACCUCGGAUCAGGUAGGGAUACCCGCUGAACUUAAGCAUAUCAAUAAGCGGAGGA